rnacentral:rRNA from 1 species
GACGUAGGAUGCAAGCGUUUGUCCGGAAUUAUUGGGCGUAAAGAGUUCGUAGGCGGUUGCCUAAGUCUGAUGUUAAAUACUGGAGCUUAAACUCCAGCAUGGCAUUGGAAACUGGGCAGCUAGAGUGCGUAGAGGUCUCGGGAAUUCCAGGUGUAGCGGUGAAAUUCGUAGAUAUCGGGAGGAACACCGGUGGCGAAGGCGACCAUCUGGACGGAUACUGACGCUGAGACGGCGAAAAGCGUGGGUAGCAAACAGGA